CUCAUAGCGUAUAUUAAGUUGUUGCGGUUAGAAAGCUCGUAGUUGGAUUUCUGCUUGGGGUGGCCGAUGUGCCUUCUGGGUUACAGCCGGUUCAGCCUGAGCAUCUUUCUGGGAAUCAUGUCUGCACUUGAUUGUGUGGCAUGGGUUCCAGGACUUUUACUUUGAGGAAAUUAGAGUGUUUCAAGCAGGCGUCCGCCUUGAAUACGUUAGCAUGGAAUAAUGCGACAGGACCUCGGUCCAUUUUGUUGGUUUCUUGGGUUGAGGUAAUGAUUAACAGGGAUGGUUGGGGGCAUUCGUAUUUAACUGUCAGAGGUGAAAUUCUUGGAUUUGUUAAAGACGAACUACUGCGAAAGCAUUUGCCAAGGAUGUUUUCAUUGAUCA
rnacentral:rRNA from 1 species